UCUUUUUGUACAAAUGAAGAUGAAAGCUGGUAUUAAUUAUUGGGGUUUGAUAAUUCUCUUAAAUUCUGCACCAAAAUAUGCAGCUUCUUGUUUACGAGUUACGUAGAUUCAGGCAUUCAGCUUUCUUCCAACUCAAGUUCCUUGACUUUGUGUACAAAUGGUGAUCAUUGAUUCAAACAAAUUGGUAGAACCCGACAAAGAAGAAAAUUUAAUCUUCAAUAUGACUAUGGUUUUUGUUUUUUCUCUUCAUUUUUUUCAUUCUGUUUUUCUUUUUUUUUU
rnacentral:lncRNA from 1 species